rnacentral:rRNA from 1 species
UACAGAGGGUGCGAGCGUUAAUCGGAAUUACUGGGCGUAAAGCGUGCGCAGACGGUCACGUAAGUCGGGUGUGAAAGCCCCCGGGCUCAACCUGGGAAUUGCAUUCGAGACGUGCGUGGCUAGGGUGCGGAAGAGGGAAGCGGAAUUUCCGGUGUAGCGGUGAAAUGCGUAGAUAUCGGAAGGAACACCAGUGGCGAAAGCGGCUCCUGGUCC